ACAACGGCUCUUUUGAGAGCCACCCACAACACCUUUCAGAGCUGG
rfam:Oryzias latipes DNA, chromosome12, strain: Hd-rR.